GACGAACGCUGGCGGCGUGCUUAACACAUGCAAGUCGAACGGAGCGAAUGAAAGCUUGCUUUUAUGAGCUUAGUGGCAAACGGGUGAGUAACACGUAGACAACCUGCCGAUAGGAUGGGGACAACAUUCCGAAAGGAAUGCUAAUACCGAAUGGCGUGUAGGGGAGGCAUCUCCCCUAUAUGAAAGAUGGCCUCUAUAUAUAAGCUAUCACCUAUCGAUGGGUCUGCGUCUGAUUAGCUGGUAGGUAAGGUAACGGCUUACCUAGGCGACGAUCAGUAGCCGGUCUGAGAGGAUGAACGGCCACAUUGGGACUGAGACACGGCCCAGACUCCUACGGGAGGCAGCAGUGGGGAAUCUUCCGCAAUGGGCGCAAGCCUGACGGAGCAACGCCGCGUGAGUGAAGAAGGUCUUCGGAUCGUAAAGCUCUGUUGAAGGGGACGAACGUACAUAAGUGAAUAAGCUUAUGUAAGACGGUACC
rnacentral:rRNA from 1 species